rnacentral:rRNA from 1 species
CUGCUCAAUGAUUUUUUAAAUUGCUGUGGUAUUUUGACUAUACAAAGGUAUUGAAAUAAGAUUUUAAUUGAAUGCUAAGAGAAUGGAAUUUCAGAAAAAAACUUUUUUCAAGUUAAAAAUUGAAAUUUUUUUAAUUUGUGCAGAAACAAUUAUUAAUAUUAAGGACAAGAAGACCCUAUGAAUUUAUAAAUUUUAUUUAAUAUGUAACUACUAUUAAAAAAAAUUUUGGCUGGGGCGGCAGAAAAAUAUUUAAAACUUUUUUAAAAUAAAAUGACCCAUUAUUAAUGAUUAUAUGUUAAAUACUCUAGGGAUAACAGCGU